GACGAACGCUGGCGGUGUGCUUAACACAUGCAAGUCGAACGGUAAGGCCCUUUCGGGGGUCCACGAGUGGCGAACGGGUGAGUAACACGUGAGUAACCUGCCCUCAUCUCUGGGAUAACAGUCGGAAACGGUUGCUAAUACUGGAUAUGAGCUUGCAAGGCAUCUUGUGGGUUGGAAAGAUUUUUUUGGUUGGGGAUGGACUCGCGGCCUAUCAGCUUGUUGGUGAGGUAGUGGCUCACCAAGGCUUCGACGGGUAGCCGGCCUGAGAGGGCGACCGGCCACAUUGGGACUGAGAUACGGCCCAAACUCCUACGGGAGGCAGCAGUGGGGAAUAUUGCACAAUGGACGGAAGUCUGAUGCAGCAACGCCGCGUGCGGGAGGACGGCCUUCGGGUUGUAAACCGCUUUCAAUUGUGACGAAGCUUUUUGUGACGGUAGCAGUAGAAGAAGCACCGGCUAACUACGUG
rnacentral:rRNA from 1 species